UACGUAGGUGGCAAGCGUUGUCCGGAAUUAUUGGGCGUAAAGCGCGCGCAGGCGGUCCUUUAAGUCUGAUGUGAAAGCCCACGGCUCAACCGUGGAGGGUCAUUGGAAACUGGGGGACUUGAGUGCAGAAGAGGAGAGUGGAAUUCCACGUGUAGCGGUGAAAUGCGUAGAGAUGUGGAGGAACACCAGUGGCGAAGGCGACAUCUCUGGUCUGUAACUGACGCUGAGGCGCGAAAGCGUGGGGAGCAAACAGG
rnacentral:rRNA from 1 species